rnacentral:rRNA from 1 species
AGAAUAGACUACCCGGUAGUCCACGCCCCUAAACGAUGCGAACUGGAUGUUGGGUACAUUACGGUACUCAGUGUCGAAGCUAACGCGUUAAGUUCGCCGCCUGGGGAGUACGGUCGCAAGACUGAAACUCAAAGGAAUUGACGGGGGCCCGCACAAGCGGUGGAGUAUGUGGUUUAAUUCGAUGCAACGCGAAGAACCUUACCUGGCCUUGACAUCUGUCGAAUCCUGCAGAGAUGCGGGAGUGCCGCAAGGAACGACAAGACAGGUGCUGCAUGGCUGUCGUCAGCUCGUGUCGUGAGAUGUUGGGUUAAGUCCCGCAACGAGCGCAACCCUUGUCCCUAGUUGCCAGCACGUAAUGGUGGGAACUCUAGGGAGACUGCCGGUGACAAACCGGAGGAAGGUGGGGAUGACGUCAAGUCCUCAUGGCCCUUACGGCCAGGGCUACACACGUACUACAAUGGUCGGUACAGAGGGUUGCGAAGCCGCGAGGUGGAGCCAAUCCCAGAAAACCGAUCCCAGUCCGGAUCGGAGUCUGC